CCUACGGGAGGCAGCAGUGAGGAAUAUUGGUCAAUGGGCGCGAGCCUGAACCAGCCAAGUAGCGUGAAGGAUGACUGCCCUACGGGUUGUAAACUUCUUUUAUAAAGGAAUAAAGUGAGGCACGUGUGCGUUUUUGUAUGUACUUUAUGAAUAAGGAUCGGCUAACUCCGUGCCAGCAGCCGCGGUAAUACGGAGGAUCCGAGCUUUAUACGGAUUUAUUGGGUUGAAAGGGAGCGUAGAGGGGUUGUUAAGUCAGUUGUGAAAGUUUGCGGCUCAACCGUAAAAUUGCAAUUGAUACUGGCAGUCUUGCUUACAGUUGCGUUCGGCGGACUUCGUGUUGUAGC
rnacentral:rRNA from 1 species